ACUAUUUUGGCAGAUUAAUGUACUGAAUUUAGAAUUCAUAAAUGUAAUAUAUAUUACAAGUAGUA
rnacentral:tRNA from 1 species